rnacentral:rRNA from 1 species
AGAGUUUGAUCCUGGCUCAGGAUGAACGCUAGCGGCAGGCUUAACACAUGCAAGUCGAGGGGUAUUGGUUUUCGGACCAAGAGACCGGCGCACGGGUGCGUAACGCGUAUGCAAUCUACCUUUCACAGAGGGAUAGCCCAGAGAAAUUUGGAUUAAUACCUCAUAGUAUGCAGAGUUGGCAUCAACAUUGCAUUAAAGUCACAACGGUGAAAGAUGAGCAUGCGUCCCAUUAGCUAGUUGGUAAGGUAACGGCUUACCAAGGCUACGAUGGGUAGGGGUCCUGAGAGGGAGAUCCCCCACACUGGUACUGAGACACGGACCAGACUCCUACGGGAGGCAGCAGUGAGGAAUAUUGGACAAUGGGCGCAAGCCUGAUCCAGCCAUGCCGCGUGCAGGAUGACGGUCCUAUGGAUUGUAAACUGCUUUUGUACGGGAAGAAACACUCCUUCGUGAAGGAGCUUGACGGUACCGUAAGAAUAAGGAUCGGCUAACUCCGUGCCAGCAGCCGCGGUAAUACGGAGGAUCCAAGCGUUAUCCGGAAUCAUUGGGUUUAAAGGGUCCGUAGGCGGUUUAGUAAGUCAGUGGUGAGCCCAUCGCUCAACGGUGGAACGGCCAUUGAUACUGCUAGACUUGAAUUAUUAGGAAGUAACUAGAAUAUGUACUGUAGCGGUGAAAUGCUUAGAGAUUACAUGGAAUGCCAAUUGCGAAGGCAGGUUACUACUAAUGGAUUGACGCUGAUGGACGAAAGCGUGGGUAGCGAACAGGAUUAGAUACCCUGGUAGUCCACGCCGUAAACGAUGGAUACUAGCUGUUGGGAGCGAUCUCAGUGGCUAAGCGAAAGUGAUAAGUAUCCCACCUGGGGAGUACGUUCGCAAGAAUGAAACUCAAAGGAAUUGACGGGGGCCCGCACAAGCGGUGGAGCAUGUGGUUUAAUUCGAUGAUACGCGAGGAACCUUACCAAGGCUUAAAUGUAGAUUGACCGGUUUGGAAACAGACUUUUCGCAAGACAAUUUACAAGGUGCUGCAUGGUUGUCGUCAGCUCGUGCCGUGAGGUGUCAGGUUAAGUCCUAUAACGAGCGCAACCCCUGUUGUUAGUUGCCAGCGAGUCAUGUCGGGAACUCUAACGAGACUGCCAGUGCAAACUGUGAGGAAGGUGGGGAUGACGUCAAAUCAUCACGGCCCUUACGCCUUGGGCUACACACGUGCUACAAUGGCCGGUACAGAGAGCAGUCACCGA